rnacentral:rRNA from 1 species
CCUACGGGUGGCAGCAGUGAGGAAUAUUGGUCAAUGGACGCAAGUCUGAACCAGCCAUGCCGCGUGCAGGAAGACGGCCCUAUGAGUUGUAAACUGCUUUUGUACGAGGGUAAAUCCCGAUACGUGUAUCGGGUUGAAAGUAUCGUACGAAUAAGGAUCGGCCAACCCCGUGCCAGAAGCCGCGGUAAUACGGAGGAUUCAGGCGUGGUCCGGAUUUAUUGGGUUUAAAGGGUGGGUAGGGGGUUCUGUAAGGUAGAGGGGAAAUCCCGGGGGUCAACUCCGGCAAUGCCUUGGAUACUGGCGGGAUAGAGUAUACUAGAGGUAGGCGGAAUGUAUGGUGUAGCGGUGAAAUGCAUAGAGAUCAGGCAGAACACCGAUUGCGAAGGCAGCAUACC